UUGUACAUUGAUAUACAUUAUUUAUUUAAUUUUCAUACUCUUCAACACCAACAUAUUAUAGCAUCUUGUAUGUGCUAUAAUUCCAUAUUUUCUCCUAUGACGAACAAAGACGUCUCGACUGCCACUAGACAAUGACAAAACCCGUAGAAAUUCAGUAUUAUGAUAUAGCUUUGAUUCCUAUAUAAAAUAUCGAUUUAUUCAUAAAAUAUUCAGUAAUAUGUGCACAUAUAUGCAUGAUGCAAUGUGUUUGCGAUGCAGGAAAAAGUGCCAAUUUCGACCUCAACAAUUUGGGUCGUGGCAAAUACGAUUCGAACAAUUGAUUAGUGUCAAAUACGACUUCAACUUAAUUAUAAUUCGAAAAAAAUUCCCAAACUUCUUAAAACGUGCUUAAAUCUACAUUGACUCUAACAUAAGUUAGUCAAUCGUUAAUAAGAUAAAACGAUGUCGUUUUGAUAUACGAGAAAAAAUGCCAAUUUCGACCCCAACACUCUCAGUCGUGCCAAAUAGGACCCGAACAAAUGGUCAGUGCCAAAACCGACAUCAACUUAAUUAUAAUUUAAGAAAAAAACUUCUUAAAACGUGCAUAAAUCUACAUUGACUCUAACAGAAGUUAGUCAACCGUUAACAAGAUAAGACGA
rnacentral:lncRNA from 1 species